CUGUUGGUACAUUAUACACUGUCUGGAUUUACCCUGCCGAGAUCUGGGAGCAGCUAACCAUAGCCCUCAAAUCCCCGGAGGUUAG